rnacentral:rRNA from 1 species
UGAUCCUGGCUCAGGAUGAACGCUGGCGGCGUGCCUAACACAUGCAAGUCGAACGAAGCUUGACGGAUGAUUUCUUCGGAAUGAAACCUGAUAUGACUUAGUGGCGGACGGGUGAGUAACACGUGAGCAACCUGCCUUUCAGAGGGGGAUAACGGCUGGAAACGGUCGCUAAUACCGCAUGACGUGUUCGGAUGGCAUCAUCUGAACAUCAAAGAUUUAUCGCUGAAAGAUGGGCUCGCGUCUGAUUAGAUAGUUGGUGGGGUAACGGCCUACCAAGUCUACGAUCAGUAGCCGGACUGAGAGGUUGAACGGCCACAUUGGGACUGAGAUACGGCCCAGACUCCUACGGGAGGCAGCAGUGGGGAAUAUUGCACAAUGGGGGAAACCCUGAUGCAGCAACGCCGCGUGAAGGAUGACGGUUUUCGGAUUGUAAACUUCUUUUCUUAGUGACGAAGACAGUGACGGUAGCUAAGGAAUAAGCAUCGGCUAACUACGUGCCAGCAGCCGCGGUAAUACGUAGGAUGCAAGCGUUAUCCGGAUUUACUGGGUGUAAAGGGAGCGCAGGCGGGACUGCAAGUUGGAUGUGAAAUACCGUGGCUUAACCACGGAACUGCAUCCAAAACUGUAGUUCUUGAGUGAAGUAGAGGCAAGCGGAAUUCCGAGUGUAGCGGUGAAAUGCGUAGAUAUUCGGAGGAACACCAGUGGCGAAGGCGGCUUGCUGGGCUCUAACUGACGCUGAGGCUCGAAAGUGUGGGGAGCAAACAGGAUUAGAUACCCUGGUAGUCCACACUGUAAACG